rnacentral:rRNA from 1 species
AUUGAACGCUGGCGGCAUGCCUUACACAUGCAAAUCGAACGGUAACGGGCCUUCGGGUGCCGACGAGUGGCGAACGGGUGAGUAAUACAUCGGAACGUGCCCGAUCGUGGGGGAUAACGAGGCGAAAGCUUUGCUAAUACCGCAUACGAUCUACGGAUGAAAGCAGGGGACCGCAAGGCCUUGCGCGGACGGAGCGGCCGAUGGCAGAUUAGGUAGUUGGUGGGAUAAAAGCUUACCAAGCCGACGAUCUGCAGCUGGUCUGAGAGGAUGAUCAGCCACACUGGGACUGAGACACGGCCCAGACUCCUACGGGAGGCAGCAGUGGGGAAUUUUGGACAAUGGGCGCAAGCCUGAUCCAGCCAUGCCGCGUGCAGGAUGAAGGCCUUCGGGUUGUAAACUGAUUUUGUACGGAACGAAAAGCCUUCUUUUAAUACAGGAGGGUCAUGACGGUACCGUAAGAAUAAGCACCGGCUAACUACGUG